rnacentral:lncRNA from 1 species
GCAGAGCCGGGAACAAAGUUUGGUGUAAGAGGGGAAGGAGUUUUCCAGCGGCGCUGUGGGAAACCAGGUGGACCGGGAGGCCGAUUUGCUUUACUUUGGAGCGAGAGAGGCCUGCCUUCCGGAGCCCCAGCUUGCCUGCCACUCCCUCAGCGGAGAUUGGCCUGACCCCCACUCUCUGGAUCCUGUAUUCGCCAGGCAGCUUCUUCUCUUUACUCCACCUUCGGCACCCGGGUGUCCACCCAGGGGACCUUCCUUCCCCGAGCCUGGCACUGCCCGGAGCUCAAACUUGACCCAAACUCUUUGUCCCUCUUCCCGGAGCCGGCGCGUGGGGGUGCAGGGGUCCCGACUGCGCGCAGGACGUCGCCCGGCCGAGCGCCUGCCAGGGCGAUUCGGAGUGGCGGAGACAGAAAGCCCGUUUUAUCACACCCUCUUUUAAAGAAGGUGAAAUAAGUUGUUCGGGGCCAUUCCAAGCAGGGGCCUGCUGGCGACGCGUGCCCUUGGGGGGAAAGAACUCCUACGCGAGUUAACUCCCCCGCUCACCCUCAGGCUUCCGACUCUGGCCCCAGUUUGGCCUUUGAGAUUCAUUCUCAUUCUCUCUCUCUCUCUCUCUCUCUCUCUCUCUCUCUCUCUCUCUCUCUCUCUCACACACACACAUACACACACACACACACACACAGAGAGAGUCAUCCACCCCCUUAUGAAAUCUGACUCCUGUUUAUCAGGGUCCCGCGCGCCCUUUGCACUUCUACGUUUCACCUAAUUAUUUCAGACUUGAUCCUGACGCGGAACGAGGGGAAAAAAACCCAACACCCUAGCCUUCACAAGCUUCCCUCGAAGGGUUAAAUUUUAAACCGCGGUUUCUGGACGGGCCCGGAAACCCAGAGUGGGGGUGGGGUGGGGUGAGGUGGGGGCUACUUCUCCCCCUCCGGUUGCAGAUGUUAAUAACUAUUCAAUUUUCUAGAUCGAUUCUUCUAAAGCUUAUGCAAAAAAAAAAAAAAGAAGAAGAAGAAAAAGAAGAAAAAAGAAAGAACCAACAAUUCUGUUUCUAAGAUUUUAAAGCGAUAGGCCAGUCGGAGACGCCGAGAUUUAUUUGAGGGAAAGCAAGAGUGCGCGAAGCGGACCCAGCGUUUGGAAGACCGGCCCGCUUGCUUGGAUGUUGGACUGUUGAUUUCUCCAAUUAAUGAAAUGCGUUUGGUGUUAAUCAUAUUUAUUUUAUGGAAGGGGGAGACGCUAGGAGGGUGUAUUUAAAAAAAAAUCUUAAAAGCCUGCAAAACGAUCGAAGAGUGAAAACUAUUGUUGGAACGAGUUGGUUUUUACCUCAACAGCGCCACCUUUCGGCAAAGAAGCCAGAGGACACAGGAGCCUUCUGAGUGUAAUUCUGGCCGAGAGACUUUUUGCAAGAGGAUCCCGUGUAACAAGCAAAGCCCGAUACCCUUUAAAAAUGCCAGGAUGGAUUUUCAGCGGGCUUUAUGGCAAUAUCAAUAGAAUGAAAGUUACUUGUAAUUCAGUGAUAAAUGAGAUGUCUCUAGUAAGUAAGAUUAAGUGCAGUGCUAUAAAGUUGUUUAUCUGAAAAGUAAUUCUCAGAAAACCUGACUUCUGACACUUAGUCAUAUAUUAAGCCAGCUUCUUGAACAUUGCACUUCAGAAUCCUCUCACCCACCCAACAGCAUAACUUUACUAUUUAUAACGAGACCUUAGGUGUCACUCAUUGGCUCCUUAGACCAGAGUCGUCUUGUGUUAAUUUCUCCCAUGCUGGCAGCCUUGGGUUUUCUGCAACCCUGGGAAUCCCUAACAAGAGACUCCCCAAAAGGUUUACCCUAAAAGGCCAGCACUGUUGGUACUUUCCAGAAAAGCACUUUUUCCUUUCAUCAUUACUGCAGAGAAGCUGUUUAUAGGAGUAGUUUUGGUUUUAUGGGAGUACUUUGUUGGGAUGGAAUGAGGUAUGCUGUUACCAGUUUGGGGAAGAAAGAGUGAAGAUUAUGUCAAUAUUUAUGCAACCUAACAGAAUUCCUUUGCUUUCCUCCCCUCAAACAGUAUUUUACGUAGUAAUGAAGUUAAGGGAUUAUAGCCUAUGUAUUCAGAGGGAAAUUUAACUGCUUCAGUUACACAAACAUAUUAUGUCAUUUAACAGUGUCCAUAGCAAUAAUUUUUCUAAGGCUUGUAAAAAAAAUCAUUAGCCACAAAUGUCUGAAGCUGAUAUUUUUCAUGUAAAAUAUGAAUUUCAGUAUAUUUAGGAAAAAAUCUUUUUUUGUUUAUAAAAAUUUUUUUAUCCUUUUGCAUCAGUUUUGGUACAAGCUGUGAGAUAUAUUUCCUGCCUCUCAUGAAAGUAUUUUUUUUUCAGUCAGGAACACUGAAACAUUCAUAAAUAAACAACAUUUAUAAACAAAGUUCACUAAUGAUGAAGACCAUGGGAUACAGAUUCAUGGCCAUGCACCUAAUUGUUGCAAUUAUGUAUCAUUUCUAGAAAUUAAAAUGCCCAUGUUUGGCCAGCUAAACGUAUUAUUAUCUGCACAUUUUUCUGGUUUAUUUUUGUACACUGCUGUCAAGCCAGGGUAUUUUUCUUUCUCUUAUUGCAGAGUCUUUUAUAGUCUCCUAUUUUCUUUUGGGGAAAAAAAAAAAAUCCAAAUCUUUUUUGUUUUGUUUUGACAUGGAGCAGUGGUCCUCUCAGGCUUAUAACUUAAUUCUCAUUUUUGUCCUUUUUACUUUAUUAUUUAGUGAUUCACAGGGGUGUCUAAACAUUUACAGUUCUCUGUUAGCAGCGUUUCUCUUGUAACAAUGGAGCUCUCUCAUUUUAAUUAGUACUAUUCAGGUUUUUGAGUCUCUACAAUUACAGCAGGCCACAUUGCUCUAAAUUUCUUUGCUAACAUUGUUUGUUUCACUUCUAUCCAAGCCAAUCUAAUCCAAAUACAAUAUGAACUGUGUUUUCUUACUGCUUAAUAUCCCCUUGCUAUAUAUACUCUAGUAAUCUCUGUAGAACAAUAUAGAGUAAUU